UCUUAGAGUGUCACAAUCUGA
rnacentral:siRNA from 1 species